UACGGAGGGAGCUAGCGUUGUUCGGAAUUACUGGGCGUAAAGCGCACGUAGGCGGCUUUUUAAGUCAGGGGUGAAAUCCCGGGGCUCAACCCCGGAACUGCCCUUGAAACUGGAGAGCUAGAAUCUUGGAGAGGCGAGUGGAAUUCCGAGUGUAGAGGUGAAAUUCGUAGAUAUUCGGAAGAAACACCAGUGGCGAAGGCGACUCGCUGGACAAGUAUUGACGCUGAGGUGGCGAAAAGCGUGGGGAGCAAACAGGG
rnacentral:rRNA from 1 species